rnacentral:rRNA from 1 species
CGAGCGGACAGAUGGGAGCUUGCUCCCUGAUGUUAGCGGCGGACGGGUGAGUAACACGUGGGUAACCUGCCUGUAAGACUGGGAUAACUCCGGGAAACCGGGGCUAAUACCGGAUGCUUGUUUGAACCGCAUGGUUCAAACAUAAAAGGUGGCUUCGGCUACCACUUACAGAUGGACCCGCGGCGCAUUAGCUAGUUGGUGAGGUAAUGGCUCACCAAGGCGACGAUGCGUAGCCGACCUGAGAGGGUGAUCGGCCACACUGGGACUGAGACACGGCCCAGACUCCUACGGGAGGCAGCAGUAGGGAAUCUUCCGCAAUGGACGAAAGUCUGACGGAGCAACGCCGCGUGAGUGAUGAAGGUUUUCGGAUCGUAAAGCUCUGUUGUUAGGGAAGAACAAGUACCGUUCGAAUAGGGCGGUACCUUGACGGUACCUAACCAGAAAGCCACGGCUAACUACGUGCCAGCAGCCGCGGUAAUACGUAGGUGGCAAGCGUUGUCCGGAAUUAUUGGGCGUAAAGGGCUCGCAGGCGGUUUCUUAAGUCUGAUGUGAAAGCCCCCGGCUCAACCGGGGAGGGUCAUUGGAAACUGGGGGAACUUGAGUGCAGAAGAGGAGAGUGGAAUUCCACGUGUAGCGGUGAAAUGCGUAGAGAUGUGGAGGAACACCAGUGGCGAAGGCGACUCUCUGGUCUGUAACUGACGCUGAGGAGCGAAAGCGUGGGGAGCGAACAGGAUUAGAUACCCUG